UUUUAGGAUUUGUUUUCAUUCCUAACUCCCUUGGUUACAGGAGAAGGUCCACUUAAACCAGCUUAAGCAAAGAAAGGAGGAGAGGGAAGGAGGGAGGGAAUGGGGAGAGAGGUCAGACAGCCUCUGAAGUGACUGUGAGGCCAUGAGGAGGAAGAGGUGCCUGGCUCUCUCGGAGUUUCCCACCUCACUUCUGAUUCCUAUGUUUUUCCUUCUUGGAGGGUGGACAUGAGCAUUGAUGGUUUGCCUCACUCGGCAACUCCACGAUCACACAGGAAAUUGAUCCCUGUCUUCCAGAUUCCUCGUUCAAAAGCUCAAGGCAGAACGCAUCUGUAGAUUUUUGUCAUGUGCUCACCCUUGGACCAGUCACUGCUGGUAGUGAGCUCUUUGUAAAGAGUGUGCCUUACUUCACAACUGCCUCCUGCCAGCUGAGAUGACCUCACUGCCCUCCACUUCAACUGAUGACCAAAGUGGACAUUGGAUUCAGGAGUUAUCAAACUUCUGUUUGAAUCACAAUCUGCAAAUGGAUACAAUGGGCACACUAGCUUAUCUGUGCUCCCUCCUCCUCGUCCUCCACUUUCUCCUCCUCCUCUUCCUUCUCCUCAUAUGAUGAAUAUGAAAGUGCAAGGGCAACGAUGGUCAGGCCCAGGGCAGAGUAAGUCAUGAGCAGAGGACCCAGCGGAGCAAGAGUCUAACAAGAGCAGACGAGUUUACAGGCCCUCACACUUGCUAGAACUUAAGAGGAGGGACUGGGAAACCAGCGUUUAAAAUAGAAGGGGCAUUCCCUUUGAAUUGGAGGUAGGGGUGCAGCUGUGGGUAAGAGGAACAUUUGUAGUGUAGGAGUACAUAGCCAAUGUACGCAUUUGUAGCAAGUGCUGUACAAAGGUGAAAUCUGUUAUUAACAUGCCUAACAUCCAGAAUCAACUCUCGUCUCUGCUCUCUAAGCCCAUCAGCCCCUACCUACCCUUGAAUCUUCACGAAGAUGAUAUUGGAUAUCUCCAUUCACGUAGUCAAGAGUCAAACACUUCCAUUCUGCCCCUCCCCUUAGCCAGUACCAUGAGCCUGGAAUCUUGUGGAAGAUUUGAAGCAGAGUGAAUUGAGUGCAGCCAGAAAUCUUCUGGGUCAUUCCUUCACCCAUGGAUUCUUGGAAAUCUGUAGUUCACUAACACAGAAAAGGAAGGACUUCUAAUAACAUCUCAAAGCACCAACUUCAGCCUCAGUGGAGAUGUGAACUCUGGGUCCCUCUCCAUCCCUAGGUCACUAACUGGCUGGACACUCCUUGUGGAGCAAGACUGGAGACUGAACCCUGCUCAGUGAAUACUCCGGCAGGGAAAACUCUAGAGAGCUAAAUUAAAAAAUAAAAACAAAAAGUACUCUCUCAGUACCAAGGAGCCACAGCAAAGGCUGAUUUGAAUGCCUGUUACUUCCUGUCAGCUUGGGAUGAGCCUUCUGGGACACAAAGACAGAGUUCCAUUGUCCUGAUCAUUUCUCUGGCCUGAGGGAAGGGAAGGGAGCAUCAGCCCUAGGGUGCACCACAGAAGUGAAACGCUUUUAUGUAUUCAAGGAGUGUGGCUUCCAAAUGAGAAAUGACACCGGACCUGCCAACAGUGAACCUAAAGUGAGUCUUCACGGCUCGAAGGGACACAGAAUGUCACCUGCUCAACUAUCCAACACUCAAGGAAAACAUCUCCUAAGACAUUAACUUGGGGCUGCAAACUUGGAGAAGUACGAAGAGGAAAUACAUCAUGCGUUAGGAUGAUGGGUGUCUUAGGCUUUUACUGCUGUGAGCAGACACCAUGACCAAGGCAACUCUUAGAAGGACAACAUUUAGUUGGGGCUGGCUUACAGGUUCAGAGGUUCAGUCCAUUGUCAUCAAGGUGGGAGCAUGGCAUCGUCCAGGCAGGCAUGGUGCAGGAGGAUCUGAAGUUACAUCUUCAUCUGAAGGCUGCUGGCAGAAGACUGGCUUUCAGGCAGCUAGGAUGAGGGUCUCAAAGCCUACACUCACAGUGGCACACCUACUCCAACAAGGCCACACCUCCUAAUGGUAUCACUCCCUGGGCCGGUGUAUAUAUAAACCAUCACAAUGGGCCACCUGCGUCGUUCUUGAUUUUCACUACUUACCCCAACUUCCUUUAUAUCUGAGAUGAGUUUUAUGGGUGAUCAACUUGGCAGGAUACAGAAUCACCUGGGAACAAGCCCUGGGCAGAUUGAAAUAUGACCAACCAGCUGCCUCAGGUUCUGCCACCAAGACUUCCCUUCAACCUGAGCCAAAACCAACUCUUCCUUCUUAGAGAUGCCUUUGCCAGAUAUUGUAUUACAACUCUAUAAUAGUUUUAGAUUUUGGUUACUGGGGGUUGUGACUAUAACUCCAGAAGGUGGACGCUGGGAAUGCGAGCAGAGUCUGAAGCAAGUGAGUCACAAGAGGGAGGUCCCUAUGGAACUGGCGUGGCAGCAAGUUGGGAACUUGAAGGAUGGUGAGAUCGCUGCAGGGCCCCCAGCCGGCAACAGCUUGGGAUGGAAAUUGGAAACUUAGCUA